CACCAUAUCCCACUCAGAGUAGUAAAGUUAAGACAGCUGGCUGAUGUCAUCCAAAACCUCUCUGGACAAUUUUUGAGUGGUCUUGGGAAUCUGGAGAGGUCCCAGCUGGCUGGAAGCUGGUGAAUGUUGUCCUGAUUGUCAAGAAGAGUGAGAAGGAGGACGCUAGCAGCUACAGACCUGUCAGUCUCACUUCUUCUGUGCCUGGUAAAGUUUGGAGAAGAUUGUCCUGGGGGGUAUUGAAAAACACCUGUAGGACAACAGUUAUUGCUCACAGCCAGCACAGCUUUGUGAGAGGAAAUUCCUGCCUAUCAAACCUGAUUGCCUUUUCUAUCAAGGAGCACUGCUAGAAGCAUGCCAGGAGCAGGAUGCUGGAAACUGCAGAACCCUUUUGCUGUUGGUUCUAGAACCCUCUAGGUUUGACAUUUUGUGGCUCAAAUCAAAUCUGUGUUCUUCUGUCAUCUGCUUAUGGGAAAUACAGGCGCUGCCUCCACAGAGAGCUGUGAGUGGACAGAGAGAGAGCAAUGGGCUGAGCCUCUCCAACUAUCAUUUUAAAAUUUAUUACUGAAUUUGGGGUGAAACAAUGCUAAGAAAGCUUUUCAGCUUGUGUUACCAGCUCACCUUCCAGGCUGCCUGUCACCAUGGCUGUGGACACGUUUGCUGCCCCAGCCCUUGAGCUGGCAGCACUCUCUGCAUAAUGACAAUCACAGGGUUUGUUUAGGAGGGUCACUGCAAUAUAUUUGCACCUCUGGAACAGCCAAUUUGAAGAUCUCAGAUUGCUCUGCAAACAAAAUGGCAAAAUCCACCAGAGGUCAGUAGCAUUAACCCUAUCUUGACACUGACUAAUUUAAUGUCCAGAGAGACAGAAGGUCCGCACUGUGGAGAUGCUGAACAAGUGCACUUUGAAUUGAAGUGUGGAGGAGCUGUGGGUGUUUGAUGUCUGUGUAAAGCAAAUUCCCCACCAGGGAUUUGUUUAAAGGUAAGUGGAAGAAAAAAUGGGGAAGUAUUGACUCCCAGUCCUCUCUUCUGAUCACUGAAACACUCUAAAGGGUAACUUACUGAAUCAUCUGUGUCUGUACAAUACCAACUUGAAGCUUGUAAAAGGUGUUUUGUAUUUCCAGGGCUUUUUUUUUUUUUUUCAUGCUGUGAAAAAUACUUGCUCUUUGAAAAUGCACCCAGUGUCUGUGCAGUCCUGAUGUUUAAACUGGGCACAUUUAGGUCACUCUCUUCUCCCAUGUGAACACUGGAAGGUGCUGAUAGAGAUUUUUGCAAUAUUGCAUCAUCAUACUUGGUAGCCCAGAAGUUUGUCUUGCACCAAAGUUUCAAAUACCCUGGUUUCUGUCUCCAGACUUUUAUUGAUAUCUUCAGGCCCUGACUGACUCCAAAUUAGGAAGGAAAUGUCCUGAGACAGAAAGCAGUCAUCAGCACAUCCUGCAUACUGAAUAAUUACAGUGAAAAACCGUGUCCAUUAGCAGAGGUGAGCAAAAUCAUGGAAAAAAGAUAAUGGAGUCCACUGGAGCAAAAAAUCCAUUUCAGCAGAGAUCUCUGAGAGCUGGGGGAGCUGUUUUCAAUAAGAAAAUAACAAACUGCACAUUUUAAACUACAUUUUUCCUAACAGAAAAGUUGGAGAACCAGAAUCUUUGGACACACUGGAUCCAGGGUCCUAAAAUCCUGGGAGGAACUGGAUUUGUUUGGGAUGGGAACAGCCUCCUGACAUGACACGUUUUCAGACACAGGGCAAGAAGCAGAAAUCAGAUUUCUUCUGGAGUGACUGAUAGCCUCUGACAACAUGAAGCAAGUUAAUCACAGAUUAUGCUGUAACUUGCCAUUAGGCAACUUAAAAGUACUUCUGCAUGUCUUAAUGGUGCAGUACAGUACACUCAGCACAGCAGCAUGGAGGGCUUUUCCCCAGCUAAGCAUUUCUCUUUUUUAAUAACCUCCCGCUUUUUGUGUGAAAAUGUCUUUUAAUUAGUGUUGUUUUAUGUACUUGGACAUUUGCCCAUGGUUGCAGCAUCUGCUGUUUGCUUUGUGGGUGGGGACCUGAUGGCACUCACAGGAAGAAGCUUUCUGCAGGCCUCUGAAGAGGCUCAGGAAAGUGUGGUCGUGGCCCAAAUCUGUGGCCAGAGCAACCUGAGUCAUUUCCAUAUGGUGCUUUGAGUCUGGCAGGUUGAAAACAAAGGGAAAAAGGAAAGAGCUCCCAGAGAAGAGCCAUGGGGGCUGAGAUGACAGCCUGAUGGGACCUUUGCAAAGAGCACUGAAAAUACCCAUGAUCUGCAUUCUGGAGAAAGUCUUUUCAAGCUUUUCCCCACUCCCUUCCUUUCUCCUUUUGCUUCUUCUCUCUUUCAUCCUAUCCUUUUCAUUUUCAAUUUCAGCUGCUUGAUCUCCAGAUAUUUUUGAAAUGGCUGGGAAAAAGGGAGACAAAAACGAAGCUGACAUAAGGGAAAUUGAAGUGUGGGGAGAAACCACAGCAGUUUAUUCCAGACCUUGUUUAAUGAAAAAUAAUUAGAAGAUUUCAAAACACUUUGCAAACUGCAAUCCCAUUUUCUGUUCAUUCACGAUGGACCAAAGCCUCAAAGCUUUGGUUUCUUAUGAUAAAAGCAAGGAAUACUUACUUUUUAAAAUCUUUUCUCUUUUUUCUUCAUUUAAUAACUUGAAGGGCUUUUUCAUCUGAAGCAGACAAUAUUCAGAGCUCUGCAUUCUUUCUAAUUCUUCUUAUCCUGCUCCCCCAGCCUGGUUGACAUUUACCUUCAUGACCUCCAUCCUCCCUGGGUGUGCUCAGAACUAAAGCCAGUGCUUGAAGUUACUGGUGAAACAGAUCUGGAUGAUGGAAGGAGAUGACAACUCCUUCAUGUGCCCUGCUCUCCCUCACAAGGAAGGGUGGGGGGGAUAAACCAGGCUUUUCAGUUUGGGAAGCAGAUGAGGGAAAAUAUUAUAAGGCAUCAAAAUCAGGAUUGGAAAGAAGGAAGCAAUAAGCAAACAAUUAUUCACAUUUUCUCAAAAUGCAAGACCCACCUCGAUCCAAUUAAAUAAUCAGGUGGUGCACCUGAAACAUACAAAAGCCAAUAUUUUUCAUCUAAGGAAACCUGUGAAACUCGUUGCCUCUGGGUGCUAUAGAGGCCAAAUGUUUAAGCAUUCUUAAAAUAGACUGAACAGUAAUGAAAAAUGUCAUUGCUGAUGACUGUUAGACAUGAUGGUUCACACCCAACUUCCAGCUCAGGAAGACUUGAGCUGCCACCUGACAGAAGGUGGAGGGAUAAGCCAGGUUACAGUCUGUUUUGUACAACCUUUCUCCUCCUCCUACCUUUAUUUUCACUAAUAGGAUGGACCUUUCCCAUAUUGGAGCUUAGUAGGUCUUUUAUACCAACAUACCAUUCCCCUGCCCAGUUGGACUUAGAAUUUGUUAAUUAAAAAUUGAGGCUGAAUUAGCUGAAUCAGUAGGUAAACUUAAACUGCUGAUCAAAGACCAAGACUUCCUUCACAAUUAUCCACCCCAUGAGUGCACCAAGUGCUGUGGCAGAAAGAGUAAUUUUAUUCUUGACUUCUCUAAGAUCUUGGAUUAAAUUGUUUCUUUGAUUACUUUCUCUGGUCACUUUUUUUUUUCCUCAUCUGUCUUUGAGGUGAAAGAAAGUUUUCUCACCUGGACUGUUUUGAGCAGAACCUCUUAAAAAUUCUAGAUUUCUUCAACUGUUAGUACCAAGACUAGGGCAAGAGAGCUUUAACCUUCUAAAGGUUUCUAGGUUCUUCUUUAAGACAAGUAAAUAAUUCUAAUUUCUACAAACUACAGCAUCUUCAGUUAAGUCUUCAUAAAUAUCUUCUAGUAAAAUAGGGCUUGUAAUAAAAAAAAAACUCUUUGGUCUUACUGAGUCACAAGAAAAGUUCUCUCUUUGAUUCUAUUUCUCUGCUUUCUCCUUUGAAUAAAGUGGGAAAUGUACAAGGGCUGCUUCCUGUGCAGGUUUAUUGUUUUGCAGGUGGUGGAGUGGUUUUAAAGACAUCUGACUUGAGAACCAAUGUGUGUGGUGCAGUCACUGAAGGGAAGGGAUGCCAUCCUGUGGGACUGGGCAGGCUGGAGAGGUGAGGCUGUGGGGACCUUACCAAAUCCAGAAAGGACAAAUGCAAGUCCUGCACCCAGACUGGGGCAAUCCCUCCCUCAAGGAAAGGCUGGGUGGAGAAUAGGUUGACAGCAGCCUUGCAGGGAAGAACUUAGAGGCGUUUGUUGAUGAGAAGGUCAAAAAAGAUGGAGAGAGUGUUUUUGGCAUGGUCUGUUGCGACAGGACAAAGGGUGAACUGAGAGACAGUGGGUGUUGCAAAGAAAUUCUUCACCAUGAGGGUGGUGAGCCCCUGGCACAAGCUGAACAGAGAAGCUGUGGCUGCUCCAUCCCUGGAAGUGCCCAAGGCCUGUCUGGAUGGGGCUUGGAACAACCUGGGAUAGUGGAAGAUGUCCCUGCUGCAGUGGGGCUGGAACUGGGCAAUCUUAAAGGCCCCUUCCAACCCCAGCCACUCAAUGAUUCUGUGAACACCAGGAGUGCAUUGAUUGAACAGAACUAAAUAUACCAACACCCAUGUCAGAGCAGAGAUUUUUUUUUUUUUUUUUGCUGCAGGAGAUCACAGACAGAAUGGAUAGUGGAAGCUUUCCACAUAAUGGUGCUUGAUCAUAUGUAUAAAAGGAGUUAAAAUUACCUCUCAUAGAGAUUUUUCAUAAGUAUAAGUAAUCUCCACGUACUUUUGUGAUUGUUUCUCCUCAGAUAUGGUUAUUAUUUGGCAGCACCAAACUGUGUUUGGUUGUACAUUGCCAUGUGAAAGACAUUUGACUGAUCAGAGUGUGAUAUUUUUGAGGUUGCUGGUGCAGCAAUGGGAAGAUGACCUUCUGUAAAUUUAAACAAUGAGGGAUGAACACAGAUUUUUCUUCUGAUGAGCAUGUAACUCACACAAUACAAAGUUUUUUAAAAAGUGCCUAGAAGACAAUUUGGAUUCAAAUAAUGUUUUCUAGGAGGAGCUGCCUGCUGGCAUUGUGUCUCAGUCCGCUGUGUGCUGACAAGCCCCAAAGCAGAGUUAAGAGGCCCUCUGAAGCUGACUGAAGUCACUGUCAACAAAACUGGGAUCCCUUCCAACCAAAAGCUGUGCAACCAGUGUGAAAUGUUUGUCAGGCUGUAGAGAGGAACAGCCAGAGGAGCUACCAAAAUAUUUAACUGAGGCUUUCUGAGAGACAUUGGGUUUCUGCUAAAAGACACUGAAGUGGCAUUCAGCACUGAGUAGUGUUUCAUCAGAAAUUUCCUUGAGUUUCCCCAUGUCACUGGGAGGUAUCCUGACAGUUGCUCCCUCUGUCACUCACAGACAGUUGCUACCACACUCACACACCACAGACAUCACAUUUUUCCCAACUCCCCCAGAGCUCUUGGUGUCAACUGCUUGCCAGGAAACAGAUUCUUCUGUAACUCCCCCACUAUCCUAAUGUUUAGGAUGAUUCCCCAAAUGAGGCUACUGCACAGAAGGCUAUUGACUAACCAUGGAUCCAUGACUCUGUGCUGGAGCACAGCAGCUCUGGUGAGCACAGAGGCUGCAGCAGCGACGUGGCCUUGAGAACUCCUGAUGGCUCAUGGACAGAACAAGACAGAGCAAUCUGCACCAUCAUGGAUGACUUUGGUGAUAUAAGAGGAUUGGCUUUGUGCCUGACCUGAGGAGCUGCAUGGAACCUGUGCUUUCUGUGCACAGGAGUUAAGUGAUGUCCAGGCACCCAUAUGUGUUACAAUAUGGAGAAGUCCC